GAACAUUAGGGUUUACCUAAUGCAACACAAUAUAUAAGCAAUGUAACUCUCCCCAAAAUCGGCUACACUAAGAAAUAAGAGGGCUUGNGCCGAUUUUGAGAAGUGUGUGUUAUCUCAAGAGUCUUUCCAAGAGCAUUUGGUGUUGUGUGAAGCAUUUGAGGCAUCACACUUGGGGUGCUAGGCUCACAAGGUUUCAAGGAACACAAGCAACAACAAGGUAAGUUAUUCUAUCUAUGAUUCAAGUUAAAAUUGUUCCCCAUGUAUGCUAGAUAGGAAUAUAACCUUGGAAUUCAACUUUGCAUGAUAAUUAGACAAACAUAGAUCCAAGGUUAUUAGGGUUGCAUGUACACUUAGGAAGUGUUAGAAUGCUCAAAACCCAUCAGUGGUAUCAGAGCCUAGGCUUGUUUGUUUGUUAUUUGUGCAAAAUUGUUGAAAAAGUCGAUAUUGUGCAAUCUGCCUGAUGAACUCGCCGAGUCCAUGGGGGGACUUGCCGAGUUCAUGUGUAAGUUCAUCAUACUCACCGAGUAGGUUCGUGCACUCGAUGAGUAGGAGCAUCAGAAUGCAUAUUUUCGACUUUUGUUGCUUGAAAUGGACUAGAAACAUUACCCUAAACUGUUUUGGUACUUGAAAACUUGUUUUAGAUGGUGUAAUGUUCAUGCUAAUCCAUUCACAAUGACAAUUAUCAAAAAAUACAAACUUUUAAGUGUAAUUUUUGAUUCAUGAAAGUGUUCAUAUUCAUGUUCUUGAUUUUAUGAUGUUUAGAUGAUCAUAUGAAUUGUUUGUAACCUAUGUGGUAGAUUAAUCCAUGAUCAUUAUGUGUUUUAAUGGAGUCCAUAACUUGUCCUCAAGUUAUGGAAAACCAAAAGUCUCUUGGAUUAAAAACCAUUAAAAGAACACAAGAGUUAGGAAAAAUGAAAAGUCCUCAUUUUAUUACUCUAUUAAACUCAUAAGUUACAAGAAAUGAAAAGUUUUGAAAGUUUACAAAACUUGCCCUCAAGUUUUGGAACAAGUAAAGUUAAGUUAAAACUUUAGUUCCAACCCCUAGAAUUUUAAAAGUUAAAAUUCAACCCUUAUACUUAUAUUAUUAUGAUUUAAUAAUUAUAUAUAUAUGUAUAAGAACAAAGUCGUCUUACCGCUAGUACGCCUCAUUCACGAAGCCGGUCUAUAAGGUGGGUAUAAGGUUGUUGCCUAUAAAAUGGUGACUUAAUGGGUGUCCACUCUCACCCACCGCUUGCUUGAUCGGUGGAGGGUCGUUAGCCGAACGGGUAAGACAAGGACUUAUUAAUUCUCAUUAAAAGUAUGAUGAAUAUUAUAAAGUAACUAAAUGUUUUAUUAAAUUCCCAAUCUUAGUUACUUUAGGAAAAAUGUGAAUAAGGUGCUAAUCCAUGAAAUUACACUUUACACUUUGUUUAAGUCGUUGGUGGAGCGUGUGUGGUUAACCGGCACACUAACUUGGACUUAACAAGGUAGGUAAAGGGUGACUUAGGGUUUAUUAUAGUAUCGAUGGAGCGUGUGUGGUUUACCGGCACAUCGAUUGAGUGAUAAACUUUAAGGGUACCAAGUGAUUUGCAUGGUUACUUCACACCUCGUUUUGUGAUCCUCGGCAUCCCAGUCACAAAACUUGGAGGGCACACUCGAGAUUGAAACAUGCCUUUGAAAAGUUCAUUGAAUCUCAAAAGAAUCUAGGAGUUUCUAAGAACCAAAUUAAAUAUUUUUAAUAUUUCGACUUUGGUGGAAAUUGGUGAAUCGUCAUUCACCUACCUUUCAAAUAUGUUAUUACUUAGAUUACGGCAUACCUCUUCUAAGUAUAAUAUAUUGUGAUUGGGUCCUAGCCUUAAUACUACAUUUGGGUGUUUUAUUAAGGACUAUCUCUAUUUCUAAACUAAACUUUUCUUCUUUUCAGAUGUCUGCAAACACUGCUGCUUCUGGCUCUAAUCCUAAUGGCUCCUUUUCUCUAAUGAACUUGUGUGGGAAAGUCACUUUUGAUGGAUCCAACUUUAAUGAAUGGAUCAGAAACAUCCGAAUGAUUACCCGCUACGAGGACAAAGAAUAUGUCCUCGAUAAGGAGCUUAAGGAGAUUGAUGAGACAGUUGCUACUCCUCAAGAGAUCGCUGACUUUAAGGCACAUGAAAAGGAUGCCACCAAGGUGGCAUGCAUCAUGAUGGCCACUAUGACAGCCGACCUCCAAAAGUCCUACGAGGACUUAUACCCUUUUGAAAUGCAUCAAGAUUUGAUGGAAAGAUACCAUCAAAGUGCAAGAAAAGAGAGGUAUGAAAUCAUCUCAUCCAUGAUAACAACCCAAAUGAAGGAUGGUGAACCCAUCACGGUCCACAUGUAAAAAAUGCAAAGAUUUGUGGACCGCUUGCUGAAGCUUAAUGUGAACUUCCCCGAGGAGCUUGCAAUAGAUAUCAUUUUGCACUCCUUACCUUCAUGUUAUGAUCAAUUCCGCAUGACAUACCACAUGAACAAGGAAGAGGUCACUCUCAGCAAACUUCAAGGACUCUUAAAGACCACGGAAAGUGGUCUUAAGGGUAAGGCGGUUGUUACUACUCCUACUCCUACCAACUCCGCCCCUGUCUUGGCAAUCGGGAAAGGACGAGGGAAGAAGAGAAAGAGUUCUUCGAAGGGUACCAAGGUUAGGACCCUUGAUGGCUCUUCUUCAACUGGAACCAAGAAAGGUUUCAUCACUCCUUCUUCUGACCCAAAAGAGGUUGAAUGCUUCUAUUUCCAUGAAAAGGCAUAUUGGAAGCGGAACUGCCCAAAGUACCAGCAAGAUGUGCAGGAUGGGAAAGUCAAACCCAACCAUGCAGGUAUUUACACUAUCUUAUCUAAUAAAUCACCCCAUUCUAACUCAUGGGUCCUUGAUACAGGUUGUGGUAUUCAUAUCUGUUCUGAUCUGCAGGGACUAAGAAGAAGUGAGAAUGUAUAGCAAGGAAGAAUAAACUUGAUCAUGGGAAACAGGAAAGCUUCACCUGUCACCAAGAUUGGAGUUUAUACUUUAUCGCUAAGUAGUGGGUUUAGUUUAGAUUUGAAUAAAUGUUGUUCUUUGCUAGAAAUGGAAAGAAAUAUUAUUUCCUUUCAUGCAUUGUAUAAACAAGGUUUUACCUUUACAUUUGAUAAUGAAGCUGGUUCGAUUAAUGCUUUCUUUAAUAAUGUUCUUUAUUUUAAAGCAUUACCUUGUGAUGGUGUAUAUGAAACUGUAUCUGUGGUUGAUAACUUAGGAAAUAAUGUUUUGUGUAUUGAUUCUCUUAAUAAUAAUAACUUGGAUAAAGCAUCAUUAUGGCAUUGUCGUCUUGGACAUAUAAGCAAGAAACGCAUAGGCCAACUCCAAAAGGAUGGAGUCUUGGAGUCAUUUGACCUAAAGUCAGAUGAUAGUUGCGAAUCAUGCUUACUUGGAAAAAUGACAAAGUCACCCUUCACAGGUUCUUGUGAGAGGGGUGAAGGUUUGUUGGACCUUAUACACACGGAUGUGUGUGGACCAUUCAAACAUGCCACAAGGGAUGCUAAUCGUUAUUAUUUGACUUUUACUGAUGAUUACAGUAGAUAUGGAUAUGUCUACUUAAUCAAGCAUAAGUCAGAGACUUUUGAAAGGUUUAAGGAAUUUAAACAGGAAGUCUGGAAUCAAUUGGGAAGGAAAAUUAAGAUGCUUCGAUCCGAUCGAGGUGGUGAGUAUCUUAGUUCAGAGUUCCUUGACUAUCUUAGGGAAUGUGGGAUUGUCUCACAAUUGAAACCUCCCAGGACACCGCAGUUCACUGGUGUGGCUGAGAGGCGUAAUCGAACCUUGUUGGAUAUGGUUUGUUCCGUGAUGAAUCGAGCUUCACUACCAAUCUCAUUCUGUGGGUAUGCCUUAGAGACUGCCGCCCAUAUUCUUAAUCUAGUCCCUACAAAGAAAGUUGCCAAAACUCCUCACGAGAUGUGGACUGGUAAAGUACCUAAACUAGACCACAUCAAGAUUUGGGGUUGCGAGGCUUUCGUGAGACGCGAGACUCAUGAUAAGCUCGAACCUCGAAGCGAGAGGUGUAUUUUCAUCGGUUACCCACAGCGAUCCUUUGGUUACCUCUUCUACAGACCUAGUGACAAUGUGGUCUUUGUAGCAAGAAGAGGAGUCUUUCGAGAAAGAGAGUUUAUAAGCCAAGGAGACAGUGGGAGGCAAAUUGAUCUUGAAGAAAUUCAAGAAUCAAGCGGUGAAGGAACUUCAAACUCUAGCCCUCAACUUGAGGAGGAAACUCCUGUUGAGCCAAUUGACAAAUCUGUACCUCUGAGACGUUCCACGAGAGUUAGGAGUGCACCUGAGCAUUACUAUGGAUUCCAUAUUACUGCAGAAGGUGAGACACUUAUUAGUGAUGAGACACUAGUAAGUCAAGAUGACCCUAACAGCUACGAGGAAGCCAUGGCAGGCCCCGAGUCUGCUAAAUGGAAAGAGGCUAUGGAUAGCGAGAUACAAUCCAUGUAUGACAAUCAAGUUUGGAACUUGGUUGAAAAUGUACCAGGUCGUAAGACAGUAGGGUGCAAAUGGGUCUUCAAGAAGAAGACCGACAUGGAUGGUAAAGUACACACUUAUAAGGCUAGACUGGUUGCAAAGGGCUUCUCUCAAAUUCCUGGAGUGGAUUAUGAUGAGACCUUUUCUCCGGUAGCCAAGAUUAAGUCUAUUCGGGUUCUGUUAGCCAUAGCUGCAUUUCAUGACUAUGAAAUAUGGCAGAUGGAUGUCAAAACCGCUUUCCUUAAUGGAAAGUUGGCUGAAGAUGUUUACAUGAGUCAGCCAGAGGGUUUUGUCAGCAACGAGUACCCUAAUAGAGUGUGUAAGCUUGAGAAAUCCAUUUAUGGAUUGAAGCAAGCACCUCGCAGAUGGAAUCUUUGCUUUGAUGAAAAGGUCAAGGAAUUUGGCUUUUCUAGGAGUGAAGAUGAAUCUUGUGUGUAUGUCAAGGCUAGUGGGAGUAUAGUUAGCUUUUUGGUAUUGUAUGUGGAUGACAUACUACUCAUAGGAAACGACAUUCCAACCCUGCAGGAAGUAAAGUCCUGGCUUGGGAAGUGUUUCGCUAUGAAGGACCUUGGUGAAGCUGCCUAUAUUCUAGGGAUAAGAAUCUUGAGAGAUCGGAGUAAAAGACUAAUUGGACUUAGUCAGAGUACCUACUUGGAUAAGGUGCUGAAGAGAUUCAGCAUGCAGGAUUCCAAGAAAGGAGAGUUACCCAUCCAGAGUAACACCAGAUUGAGUAAGACACAAAGCCCUAGCACUGAGGCUGAGAUAGCAGAAAUGAGUCGAACACCUUAUGCUUCGGCUGUAGGAUCGAUCAUGUAUGCUAUGACGUGUACUCGACCCGAUGUAGCUUUUGCCUUGAGCAUGGUUAGCAGGUAUCAGGCGAACCCUGGCAAGGCACACUGGACUGCGGUAAAGAAUAUCCUCAAGUACCUACGGAGGACUAAGGACUGGGUCCUUACCCUCGGUGGGAGUGAUGACUUGAGAGUUGUAGGGUAUAGUGAUGCUAGCUUCCAGACUGAUAGGGAUAAUUUCCGCUCUCAGUCGGGCUGGGUCUUUACCCUAAACGGAGGAGCAAUUUCUUGGAAGAGUUCCAAGCAAGAGACAGUGGCAGAUUCUACUUGUGAAUCAGAGUAUAUUGCAGCUAGCGAGGCGGCAAAGGAGGCGAUAUGGCUGAAGAACUUCAUUGGAGACCUUGGAGUUGUACCAGCUAUUAAAGAGCCAAUGGAAAUUUUCUGUGAUAGUGAAAGUGCUGUUGCCUUAGCCAAGGAACCAAGGGAUCACGGGAGAUCCAGACACAUCGACAGAAAAUACCAUUUUAUCAGACAUCGGAUAGAAGAAGGACUCCUCGUGGCAAAGAGGGUAUCAUCGGAUGAGAACCCAGCAGAUCCCCUCACGAAGGGACUGACUCGGGUUAAGCAUCUCCAGCAUGCUCGGAGCAUAGGGCUGAAGGAUGAUAUUAGAUUUAGUAGUUAGAUAACCUAGAAAUUUGUAAAGUGUAAUUGACAUUAGAUGAUGAAUAAAAGGUGUUUUAUUUAUGAGUAAAGUGUUGCUAUCUCUUGUCGAUCGUUUACUAUAUUUCUUUUGCAUGUUUUGACUUCCAGAAUAAUUUUGUUUGGUAUAACAUAUUAUUCAAACCUCCACAGUCGGUCAUAUGUCGGAAGUAGGUAUGAAUCAAGACUGUCAUGAUUGGUUGUAGAGGUCUAAGGUGUUGGACAAGGCUACAACAAUCAUGAGUGCUCAUAAGUUCUGAGCAUUGGACUCAACCCACGCUCACUGGAAUCACUUCAUGGAAUUUUAUCUCGAGUGAUCGUGAGACGGUAAUAUCAUAUAAGUCUUCAAACCUAGAGAUAUGAUUUGUUACUUACGAGUUGGUUAUGCAUUGAUUGUACGAAAACGCAUUGGUAACUCGAUGUUAUAAAACGUGCUUUUGUGUGUAAUUCAAUGAGUGGUAGAACAAACAUAUGAGUCGAAGUUUAUCUGUUCCUUCUUGGAUUAGAAGCUGAUAUCUGGGCCCCUCGAUGAUUUUGUUUUGACCUAUGUACCGGGCCCGGUCAGAACUAAGUUGAUGUGUUCAAUUAAGUUCUUUGUCAAACAAAUCGGAAAUCGGGAAACAAACUGCUGGACAAUAAGUAAGACAUUGUUCCAUGUAAUUGUCCGGCUGAUAUCUAGAACAGAGGAUUAUAUGAUCACUUAUCUUAAAUGGCGUAUCAACAUCUUCUCAGUUCCGAGAGACCUUGAAAGAGCUACGAUUGCCGAUCGGUUCCUGAAGUAUUGCAGUUAUAGUUAUUAGACUUAUCCAAGUGGGAGACUGUUGGAUAAGGUGUCUAAGUCCAUAACUAUUUCUGGUAAGUACUUGACCCGACCCGGCAUGGUCCAUUUGGGUUGCAUGGCACCAUGCAAUUGGAUAAACUAAAUGAGAGAAAUAACACAUAUGGUUUAUUAAUAUAUUAUAAGUUCUAAUAUAUUAAUAAUAUUAUUUAAUUAGUUUUGAUCAAGAAUUAAUUAAGUGAUCAAAAGAUAACUAAUUAGAUAUAUGGGUAGAUUAAGUAAAUCUUCCAUAUCUUAUAUAGUGGACUAAGAUGCUCCAUGGAUUAUCAAGUUGGGUUCCACCCAUAGGAUGCUCCAUGGAGUUAACCCAUGGAUCAAGAAAUGAAGAGUCAUGGAGCAUUAGGGUCUACCUAAUGCAACACACUAUAUAAGCAAUGUAACUCUCCCCAAAAUCGGCUACACUAAGAAAUAAGAGGGCUUGGCCGAUUUUGCAUGUGUUAGAGUAUUCUCUCAAGUUUAUUCUUUGCAUUUGGUGUUGUGUGAAGCAUUUGAGGCAUCACACUUGAGGUGCUAGGCUCACAAGGUUUCAAGGAACACUUUCAACAACAAGGUAUGUAGUUGUAUCUUUUAUACAAAGAAAAUUGUACCCCAUGUAUGCUAGAUAGGUUCAUAACCUUGGAAAAAAACUUUGCAUGAUUAUUAGACAAACAUAGAUCCAAGGUUAUUAGGGUUGCAUGUACACUUAGGAAGUGUUAGAAUGCUCAAAACCCAUCACUUAAUAGACCCAAACAUCUUUGGUAUGGCCUCUCUGAUCGCUGCGGCAAUGAUCCUACGGAUCUCAUCAUCACUGGCACUCGGCCUCUUGGGGUCGCUGGAGCCUGAACCUCAGGUAACCACCAUACUGAAA
rnacentral:lncRNA from 1 species